rnacentral:lncRNA from 1 species
UUCUCUCUCGUUCUCACUCUAUUCUUUUUUCGGUUAUGUUGUUAUUAUGGUUGUGAUGGAAUUUUCUUGUAUUGUGACUUUUGUUUGAAUCUCAGGUGGUUGUGAGUUAUUGUUGUUGUGAGAAGUUGAGAAGCAUACUGAUUGUAUGUUUCUUCAAAGAUGAAUGAAAGUAUGUGCUGGUGAUUUGAGGUUGGUUAUAGCGAUGGAGAUGGUUGUUGUAUGGUGAUUGAAGGUGGCUGAAGGUGAAAAGUGAGGUUGAUGAUGAUAUGGUGGCUCGGUUGGUGUAUGUGGUGUGUUGUUGUUGUUGUGUGAUGAUAUGAGGAAGAUGGUAGUUGAUGAAUGGCGUGGUUGAUGAAUGUCAUGGAUGUGCAUGAAAGUAUCAUGGUUAGUGAUGGAGUGUUGUGAUUUGUAGGAGAGGUUGAAGAGAGUGAUGGAAAUGAUGGAGGUGGAUGGUUGAUACAUGGAU